CAUGAAUACAUAUAGGUUAAGGUGCUGGAGGGGGAGGGAUAAUUGAACUUUUAAUGACCGAAGGGAAAACAAACAACAACAAAAAACCUGCAGUUGAACACAAUCUUGAUGACUUUUACAAUUGUUGUUACAAUAUGAUUAACACCCCCCACCAACACAAACCUAUAUAAAGACAAACCGAACACUUUAAAAUGCAACUUUUUUUCACCUCGACCUAUAACCUUACUCACCUUGUCUUCACUGAUGCAAAAGCAUCUAUUGCACUUUCAUAUGACAGUUGUUUUGGAAGGGCACUUCUUUCCUGGACUUGGUGGGCUUGGACUUGGUGCUGAUGUGGAUAAGUUCGCUGUAAAAUGACACAUUUCAAAGACAACCCUAUGCUGAGAGCUACAAACUCUUUUGUGAACAAGUGAUCCGUCAAAGGAUUAUCGUUGACAAAGAAGUGCUCAGAAUGGACAAGCCAAGAAGGUUGUUCGUGAACAUCGUUAAGAACCAUGAGGAUCUUGAUGCUUCAGACUACAGAUGGUGUUCCGAAAAAUCAGCGAUGUGAAACGAGAGGAAGACGAGGGUCAGAGGCGGAAAAACGAAGCCCCUCUCAACUUGCCUCCCGACCACCCGGUGCGUAAACUCUUCCAGCGCUUCCGGCAGCAGCAGGAGGCUCGGACGGCCACGGAAAAGACGUGUGAAGACAAUGACGUGGAGAAGGGUCCCCUCUAUGUGGAAAUUCCCAAGACAGCAAUCAUCAUCACCAGCAUUGUGACAGUGACGGAAAGCCCGGCAACGCCGUCAUCGCCGCCAAACAAGGCAAAAUCAAAGGCUGGGGGCGCUUCGAGGAAUCCAUGGCGAAACCUGAGAACUGGAAAACGGUGUCCAAAGCCUAGUCCAUGGAGACGUUGCCAGAGCGAACCAAAGGUCACGAGUCACAGAUGCCCCUGAAGAAAACGGACUUGUGUGACAGCGGCAUCACCAAAAGCGACCUGCGCCUCGACAAAGUAAGCGACUUCCGCUUGACUACGCAGGACCGCAGUCCCGU